ACAGGAUUAGAUACCCUGGUAGUCCACGCCGUAAACGGUGGGCGCUAAUUGUGCGAACCUUCCACGGUUUGUGCGACGCAGCUAACGCAUUAAGCGCCCCGCCUGGGGAGUACGAUCGCAAGAUUAAAACUCAAAGGAAUUGACGGGGCCCCGCACAAGCAGCGGAGCAUGCGGCUUAAUUCGACGCAACGCGAAGAACCUUACCAAGGCUUGACAUAUACAGGAAUACGGCAGAGAUGUCGUAGCCGCAAGGUCUGUAUACAGGUGGUGCAUGGUUGUCGUCAGCUCGUGUCGUGAGAUGUUGGGUUAAGUCCCGCAACGAGCGCAACCCUCGUUCUGUGUUGCCAGCAUUUAGUUGGGGACUCACAGGAGACUGCCGGGGUUAACUCGGAGGAAGGUGGGGAUGACGUCAAAUCAUCAUGCCCCUUAUGUCUUGGGCUGCACGCAUGCUACAAUGGCUGGUACAAACGGCUGCAAUACCGCAAGGUGGAGCGAAUCCGAGAAAGCCAGUCUCAGUUCGGAUUGGGGUCUGCAACUCGACCCCAUGAAGUCGGAGUUGCUAGUAAUCGUAGAUCAGCAACGCUACGGUGAAUACGUUCCCGGGGCUUGUACACACCGCCCGUCACAUCACGAAAGUC
rnacentral:rRNA from 1 species